rnacentral:rRNA from 1 species
AGUAACACGUAAACAACCUGCCUUCAGGAUGGGGACAACAGACGGAAACGACUGCUAAUACCGAAUAAGUUCCAAGGGCCGCAUGGCCCAUGGAAGAAAAGGUGGCCUCUACCUGUAAGCUAUCGCCUGAAGAGGGGUUUGCGUCUGAUUAGCUGGUUGGAGGGGUAACGGCCCACCAAGGCGACGAUCAGUAGCCGGUCUGAGAGGUUGAACGGCCACAUUGGGACUGAGACACGGCCCAG